GGAACGGUAUUUGGUUUCAAGUGGCGAUCCCCGCCACGGCCCUACCCCAUGAUCUCCGGCGGGGGGAGCCCGACGAGGACGCUCGCGGCGCCUUCGCCCUGCUACCCUUCCCACGCGCCGCUCCUAGCCUAGUCCGGCGACGCCGGCGACCACCACCUCGCCAUGGCCUCCGCUGGGGAGGUGUUUCUUGACAGGCCCGAAGCCCCAGAUUGAAGAAGACUAGCUGGAGAAAAUCCAACUAAACAAGUCCAACCCACCAGCAAAAUGAAAGGCUGAUACACAGAGAAGUCUGUAGCUUCACAAGAGGGGAUAGGAGUGCCACAAAAGCAGAGCUACCUAAUAUGAAUCUGAUCAUGAGCUCAAUAUCUUUGUAUCAUUUCGCGACAAUAAGAAUUACUUUUGGUGGCAAAAUUGCUUGUGGCAUUUCUUAUUAUAUACCAUUAAAAAUCUUUUUUUGCGCCAUUAUUGUAUAAAUGCCACUAUAUUCCAAUAAAUAUUUUUUUGUUAGUGGUA